GAAGUGGGCGGGGCUCUAUAUCUGAGGCAGCCUCCUGUCUCUUCGCCAUUAAACUACUAGAUUACAUCCGUUUAUGAAAAACGAGAGAAAAGGCAGAAAUCUGUUCCUGAAUGCGGGAUUAUGGUGAUAUGGAGUGGCUCAUGUCCUAAAUGUUACACAGCUUCCACUCCAAAUGGACAGGAAGUGAGAAGGUCGGUGGUUCAUCGCCAUUAAAAACAGCGGGUGGAGUUUUUUACCUUUAGUCCUGGUGUGUCCUGUUUGCAGAUGAGUCAUCGUGAGUGAACCGCAUGGAGUUCUCGUUUACUUAAGUGCCAUGAGAUGAAGCAUGGAGCAUAGUGACUGUGCAAAAGACAUAAUGG